rnacentral:rRNA from 1 species
UGGGGAAUAUUGGACAAUGGGGGCAACCCUGAUCCAGCAAUGCCGCGUGUGUGAAGAAGGUCUUCGGAUUGUAAAGCACUUUCGACGGGGACGAUGAUGACGGUACCCGUAGAAGAAGCCCCGGCUAACUUCGUGCCAGCAGCCGCGGUAAUACGAAGGGGGCUAGCGUUGCUCGGAAUGACUGGGCGUAAAGGGCGUGUAGGCGGUUUACACAGUCAGAUGUGAAAUCCCCGGGCUUAACCUGGGAGCUGCAUUUGAUACGUGUAGACUAGAGUGUGAGAGAGGGUUGUGGAAUUCCCAGUGUAGAGGUGAAAUUCGUAGAUAUUGGGAAGAACACCGGUGGCGAAGGCGGCAACCUGGCUCAUGACUGACGCUGAGGCGCGAAAGCGUGGGGAGC